rnacentral:rRNA from 1 species
GACGAACGCUGGCGGCGUGCUUAACACAUGCAAGUCGAACGGUGAAGCUCCAGCUUGCUGGAGUGGAUCAGUGGCGAACGGGUGAGUAACACGUGAGCAACCUGCCCCUGACUCUGGAAUAAGCGCUGGAAACGGCGUCUAAUACUGGAUACGAGAAGGGUCCGCAUGGGCACUUUCUGGAAAGUUUUUCGGUUGGGGAUGGGCUCGCGGCCUAUCAGCUUGUUGGUGAGGUAAUGGCUCACCAAGGCGACGACGGGUAGCCGGCCUGAGAGGGCGACCGGCCACACUGGGACUGAGACACGGCCCAGACUCCUACGGGAGGCAGCAGUGGGGAAUAUUGCAUAAUGGGCGAAAGCCUGAUGCAGCGACGCCGCGUGAGGGAUGACGGCCUUCGGGUUGUAAACCUCUUUCAGCAGGGAAGAAGCGAAAGUGACGGUACCUGCAGAAGAAGCACCGGCUAACUACGUG